rnacentral:rRNA from 1 species
CUACAGAGGGUGCGAGCGUUAAUCGGAAUCACUGGGCGUAAAGCGCGCGCAGGCGGCUAUUUAAGUUGGAUGUGAAAGCCUACGGCUCAACCGUAGAACUGCAUCCAAAACUAUUUAGCUAGAGUGUGGGAGAGGAAGAUGGAAUUAGUUGUGUAGGGGUAAAAUCCGUAGAGAUAACUAGGAAUACCAAAAGCGAAGGCAAUCUUCUGGAACACUACUGACGCUGAGGCGCGAAAGCGUGGGGAGCAAACAGGAUUAGAAACCCCAGUAGUCC